rnacentral:rRNA from 1 species
GACGAACGCUGGCGGCGUGCUUAACACAUGCCAGUCGAACGGAAAGGCCCUGCUUUUGUGGGGUGCUCGAGUGGCGAACGGGUGAGUAACACGUGAGUAACCUGCCCUUGACUUUGGGAUAACUUCAGGAAACUGGGGCUAAUACCGGAUAGGAGCUCCUGCUGCAUGGUGGGGGUUGGAAAGUUUCGGCGGUUGGGGAUGGACUCGCGGCUUAUCAGCUUGUUGGUGGGGUAGUGGCUUACCAAGGCUUUGACGGGUAGCCGGCCUGAGAGGGUGACCGGCCAAAUUGGGACUGAGAUACGGCCCAGCCUCCUACGGGAGGCAGCAGUGGGGAAUAUUGAACAAUGGGCGGAAGCCUGAGGCAGCAACGCCGCGUGCGGGAUGACGGCCUUCGGGUUGUAAACCGCUUUCGCCUGUGACGAAGCGUGAGUGACGGUAAUGGGUAAAGAAGCACCGGCUAACUACGUG